CGGGAACCCCGAACAUCCCCUUUCUCUACUCUUUCCCUUUGGAGUCUAUAGAGGGAGAAGCAGAGCCUAAGGCUUCAUCAGUUUGAAUACUGGCUGGGGCUGGGCAAGUUAGUGGCUCAAAGUGUUGAAUCUGUCCCUAAAGCAGGGACAGAAAUGGAGGCUCAGGAGGUAGAGGUGGCAGUGGGCGUGCAGGAGAAGCUGUAGGUCAGGAGGUAGAGGUGGCAGUGGGCGUGCAGGAGAACUGUAGGUCAGAGUGGAGAGGUGGCAGUGGGCGUGCAGGAGAAGGUGUAGGUCAGGGGGUAGAGGUGGCAGUGGGCGUGCAGGAGAAGCUGUAGGUCGGGAGGUAGAGGUGGCAGUGGGCGUGCAGGAGAAGCUGUAGGUCAGGGGGUAGAGGUGGCAGUGGGCGUGCAGGAGAAGCUGUAGGUCGGGGGGUAGAGGUGGCAGUGGGCGUGCAGGAGAAGGUGUAGGUCAGGAGGCAGAGGUGGCAGUGGGCGUGCAGGAGAAGCUGUAGGUCGGGAGGUAGAGGUGGCAGUGGGCGUGCAGGAG
rnacentral:lncRNA from 1 species